rnacentral:tRNA from 1 species
UCCCUGAUGGUCUAGUAGUUAGGAUUCGGCACUCUCAUCGCCAUGGCCUGGGUUCAAUUCCCCGUCAGGGAA